AGAGUUUGAUCCUGGCUCAGAUUGAACGCUGGCGGCAUGCUUUACACAUGCAAGUCGAACGGCAGCACGGGGCGACCCUGGUGGCGAGUGGCGAACGGGUGAGUAAUGCAUCGGAACGUAUCCUUGAGUGGGGAGUAACGCAGCGAAAGUUAGUGCUAAUACCACAUAAGCUCUGAGGAGGAAAGCGGGGGACCGAAAGGCCUCGCGCUGAAGGAGCGGCCGAUGUCCGAUUAGCUAGUUGGUGAGGUAAAGGACUUACCAAGGCGACGAUCGGUAGGCUGGUCUGAGGGGAUGAUCAGCCACACUGGGACGUGAGACACGGCCCACGAUCCUACGGGAGGCGAC
rnacentral:rRNA from 1 species